GCCCCCGCAACAGCCCCCUCUCAGCAGGACGCGGAAAGGUCCUCUGUGGACAGUGAGCUGGACUGACCUCACAACCCUCCAGUAUGUGCAGUGGCUGAGAAUGACCCACUCCCAGCAACUUUCUGCAGCCAAGGGGUUAAUCCUCCCUGACCUGAAGCCUGACAUGCGGGCUUGUAUGUGUCCAGGAAGUCUAGUGAAUUCGACCAUGAAUCCAGACAUGGCCAGUGGCUAAAUCCUGUGGGAAGACACUGUGCUUCUCUCUGACCCAUGAACAUUCUGCUAGUCAAGCUCUCUGUCACAAAGACAACUUGAAGAGACAGUGUGGACCUCAAGAAGAUACCAUCGUCACUCUUACCAAUGCAACUGUGGUGAACAGGACCACUAUUAUUCCUUAGAUCAAAAGGACAGCACAUUCAACAGCGUCCUCAUGGCAUGCCAGCAAUUUGCAUAGGAUGUUCAUAAUUAAACUUUGAUUAUCUA
rnacentral:lncRNA from 1 species